CUUUGGGUGUGACUGCGUACCUUUUGUAUAAUGGGUCAGCGACUUAUAUUCUGUAGCAAGGUUAACCGAAUAGGGGAGCCGGAGGGAAACCGAGUCUUAACCGGGCGUUAAGUUGCAGGGUAUAGACCCGAAACCCGGUGAUCUAGCCAUGGGCAGGUUGAAGGUUGGGUAACACUAACUGGAGGACCGAACCGACUAAUGUUGAAAAAUUAGCGGAUGACCUGUGGCUGGGGGUGAAAGGCCAAUCAAACCGGGAGAUAGCUGGUUCUCCCCGAAAGCUAUUUAGGUAGCGCCUCGUGAAUUCAUCUCCGGGGGUAGAGCACUGUUUCGGCUAGGGGGCCAUCCCGGCUUACCAACCCGAUGCAAACUGCGAAUACCGGAGAAUGUUAUCACGGGAGACACACGGCGGGUGCUAACGUCCGUCGUGAAGAGGGAAACAACCCAGACCGCCAGCUAAGGUCCCAAAGUCAUGGUUAAGUGGGAAACGAUGUGGGAAGGCCCAGACAGCCAGGAUGUUGGCUUAGAAGCAGCCAUCAUUUAAAGAAAGCGUAAUAGCUCACUGGUCGAGUCGGCCUGCGCGGAAGAUGUAACGGGGCUAAACCAUGCACCGAAGCUG
rnacentral:rRNA from 1 species